AAAACAUACAAGAAGAAGAAUUAUUGCGCAUGCUUAACUUUUUUGCUUAUUUAUGUUGAUGCGAACAUGUUCGAACACGUGAUGGAUUCGAUUUCGAUGGCGAUGCCACCUGAGAUCCUGUGAGAUGACAGUUGUCACAGAAGAUGGAGAUGGGGCUUUCCUGCAGCUGUUGCUGACAUGCAAGAUUUUCAGGGGCAUUGUCAGCAAACCUAGUUUCAGAAAACAGGCUCACUUCAUCUGGCUGGACAGUGUCAUCAACUGGAGAGCAUUCUCCAAGGGACACAAAGAACAGUAUCGGGUGCCAUACACCUUGACACAUUGCCUUCACUGUGGUGAAGUCUUUAAAGACAACCCACCUGGUUACGUUGGUGAUGGCAAGAGGGGAGUCCUGCAAGGAUUUUAUUGUACAAAAGACUUUCUUGGGUAUUGCUCAAUGGAUUGUUUUUUUGAAUGAUGGAGGGGAAUUCCAAAAUGAAGAGGUCUAAUACCUGUAUUGUUUUUUACAUGACAUACAAUACAAUAACACAAAAAAAUGUAAAUUAAAAAUGUAGCUGAAACUGUAAAAAGUUAGAAAAUAUGCUUUUCUUCCGUCCUUGUGUGACCGUGUGAGCGUAAUCAACAUUGAAAUAAUAGAUGUGAAUAGGUUUUGAAAUAAAGGUAUUACAGUUA